GCCACUACUAGAAAAAGUUUAAAUACCGACGGAAUUUAGAGACAAAAUUUGUUUCUUCUCUAUUAGAGACGAAAUUAGAGACAGAAAAAAAUAAUCAGAGACGAAAAUUAAAAUAUGUGUAUUAGUGACAGAUGUUAGAGACCGAAUAUCCCGUCUCUAAAUCACUCUGUCUCUAAAUCUGUCUCUAGUUGAUUAUUUUUAUAAUUAUAAAUAGAAAAUAAUAGUUUGAGACAGAUUUUAGAGACGGACUUUAACCGUGUCUAAUUUUUUUGUCUCUAUAUCCGUCUCUAACAAGUCAAAUUGUUAUUAAAAUAGUCAAACUUUUAUUAGAGACGAAAAAUAUCUGUCUCUGAGUAUUUUCGUCUCUAUUGUUUGUCUCUAAAUUUGAGGGCCUCAAUAUUUGUUUUCAAGCCCAACAUACAAAGCAUUGCUCAUGUAUUAUUGCGGAGAUAUAGUUACAAAAGAAGUCAAAUGGCGUAGUGGUUUGUGUUAAGUUCCUACUGUCUUGGGUGCGAUAGUUCUACUCUCACCUAUGGUUGUUUUUUUUAUCUUAUAUAUAUAUAUAUAUAUAUAUAUAUAUAUAUAUAUAUAUAUAUAUAUAUAUAUAUAUAUAUAUAAAUAUUAUUUUUAUAUAUAUUUUCAAUAUUUUUUAUGUGAAAUUAUAAUAAAAGAUAUACAAGGAUGGCCUGUUGUUGCUUUAUUCCUAAAUAUAGAGGGAUGACCCUCUAAAAUUGCUUAAACAAAAUACAUACAUCUAUAAACUUUCAAAAACUUCUUUGAAAACAAUAUUGAUGGUAGUCUUCAAUGCUUUGUCUUCUUUUUCAUGGAUUAAAAUUUUAAGUCCUUUUUCCUCCUUACCCUUGAGAUUGUCACAAGCUUCUUUGAAAACAACAUUGAUUUUUUUAUAAAAUCAAUAGCUCGUGACAUAUUUGGAACACUUAGAGAAUCAAGAGUUAUUUGUAGGUUAUUUAUAAGUAAAGAAUAUGUUCCUCAAUAAGUUGCUUAAAUAGAAUAGAUUGCUGAGUUAAUCGUAUUCAUCUGUUUGUUUUUGUUUUGAAAACUUGGUAUCCCCCCCUAUGACCGAUUAAUUCAAAGAGACCAAUCCCACCAUCCACUUGCGGGACCCAUUUAAAGCUAGAGUUUUUUUCCUCUAUAUAUGGACUUAGCCCACUAAAAUUGGCACCAGGAGGAAUCGAAUCCGAGACCUUGAGAAGAUAAUACUCCAAGGACCCAAGCCAACACGACUAGACCAACCCCUAGUGGGUUUGUUUAAAUCCUAUCUAUAAUCGGGCUUCUCUUCCUCCGUCCCGCUAGCGAAACUAUCCGCCACUUCUCUGGCCUCAGUUUGUGAAGACUCGCAUCUCACACCAGGACUCGUUAGAUGAAUAAGUGCAUGUAGUGGUGGUUGAUUGUUAAAGGAAGGGAGUAACAACAAGCAAAGAAUCGUUUGAGUUGUUUUGAUCAAAAAGAGGGUUGAUGAUGCAGUGACAAUUUCUACUAGUCAUGGGUGUGAAGAGAUUCAGUGGUGGAGAGAUUCAUGGUCAUACUCCAGGAUUACAUUAAGGUUUGAAUUGACUUCGUUGGCAUGCUUGUUAGCUGCAAGCCUACUAGUGCGAGAGAACAACUAUUUCCCUCGGGUAACUAUUCUUACCGUAAUGAAUCUGCUGGGCAAAACUAUUUGGCGUAUUCAUGAAGAUAGUUUUGAACCAAUUGUAAAAGCAAUUGAAGAAAAUAUAAUUGGCCGAGCGAUGUCACAAUUGUUUGUUCAAUGAGCAGCUUAAGUCAUAAUUCUACGUUUGCGGCAUUUACGGUGUUGUUGCGUUUGUAGAACUUGGAAUUUUUGGACAAAUCAUUUAUAAAAAUUGAAAAAGGUCAAAAAAUAUGUGGCUAAAGUGCUUAUUAGGGAAAGAAAGAAAAAAAAAACAGGAAAUUGGUGAUGUAGAGGAUGUCUUUGUUGGUGAUAUAAGACAUAUUGAAAGUCUUGUUCCUGCAAUUCUCACAAUUGCAGUACCACUGAUGUAACAUGGAUAUGAUCUAAACCAAGAAAUAAUAGCUAUGAGGUUUAGGCAGUUGAAAUAGGAUUAGCUUUUUCAAAUGGAGGACAAUGAACUUGAUUUCUCGCCUCUGGUAUGUGUUCAUCUUCUAGCUGCUAAGUUUGCGUUCAUCUUCCUCCAUGUUGGGUUUGCGUUCAUAGCUGUCCUCGAUGGGUGUAUCUCCUUGUCGAGAUGGAUACUAAGGAAAAUGAUGUGAUGAAGUUUAACUUUAGUUACUUUUUGUUAUAUAUUUUUGUUAAAUUAAUCAUAUGUAUUUUUGUGUUUGACAACUUUAAGUUUGAUAUUAUUAUAUAGUGUCGUAGUGGCAUACUUGAUACUUUGUAAGAAUGACAUACAUUUUUAUGUUAAUGUUUCAAAUUUGGUGUCAA